GACGAACGCUGGCGGCGUGCCUAAUACAUGCAAGUCGAGCGGACUGAUUAAGAGCUUGCUCUUAUGACGUUAGCGGCGGACGGGUGAGUAACACGUGGGCAACCUGCCCUGUAGAUCGGGAUAACACCGAGAAAUCGGUGCUAAUACCGGGUAAUAUCUGAGAUCACAUGAUCUUAGGUUAAAAGAUGGCUCCGGCUAUCACUACAGGAUGGGCCCGCGGCGCAUUAGCUAGUUGGUAAGGUAAUGGCUUACCAAGGCGACGAUGCGUAGCCGACCUGAGGGGGUGAUGGGCCACACUGGGACUGAGACACGGCCCAGACGCCUCCGGGAGGCAGCAGUAGGGAAUCUUCCGCAAUGGACGAAAGUCUGACGGAGCAACGCCGCGUGAGUGAUGAAGGGUUGCGGCUCGUAAAGCUCUGUUGUUAGGGAAGAAACAGUACCGAACGAACUAGGUCGGUACCUUGACGGUACCUAACCAGAAAGCCACGGCUAACUACGUG
rnacentral:rRNA from 1 species